rnacentral:rRNA from 1 species
CUACGGGGUGCACCAGUGAGGAAUAUUGCACAAUGGGGGGAACCCUGAUGCAGCAACGCCGCGUGGAGGAUGACGCAUUUCGGUGUGUAAACUCCUUUUAUAUGUCAAGAAAAUGACGGUAGCAUAUGAAUAAGCACCGGCUAACUCCGUGCCAGCAGCCGCGGUAAUACGGAGGGUGCAAGGCGUUACUCGGAAUCACUGGGCGUAAAGGACGCGUAGGCGGGUUGGAAAGUCAGGUGUGAAAUCCUACAGCUUAACUGUAGAACUGCACUUGAAACUUCUAAUCUGAGUAUGGGAGGGGGGGAUGGAAUUAUGGGUGUAGGGGUAAAAUCCGUAGAUAUCACUAGGAAUCCCUAAGCGAAGGCGAUCUCCUGGAACAUUACUGACGCUAAGGCGUGAAAGCGUGGGGAGCAAACAGGAUUAGAUACCCCAGUAGUC